AAAUAAGAAGUAAAAAAUUUACAUUUAGUUUCGACCUAAAAUUAUGCUAUACAAAUAGUCUUAUUUU
rnacentral:tRNA from 1 species